AAAGAAAGGAAAUAAAAAGAAAAAAGUGGAUUAUUGAAAUUACCAUAGCCUACUAAUUUCCAGAUAGUAACCAGUACUUAUUUCUGGGGUCAGUCACCCAGUCAACCACUUCCCAGUCACACUUCUUUCUCUCCACCAGAACAAAUCUUUCAGUCGUCUAUCUAACAGGCUUAAUGAAUCAGCUGCAGGCAACAAAGACCUCAAUCCCCAACACUUCGCUCACUUGCUGACAUCCACGCCACCAUUCGCAAGAGUCUUCAUGAAGCAGCGAGGAUACUGCUGUUUCGUUUCGACCACUGCUUCGGCUUCAGUCUCGUUCCUCGCUUUCGCUUUCGACUCAAUCUUACACUAAAACCACAUUCGUUGUUAUAUUGUCUAUCAUACCAAUCAAUCAGUCAAUCAGUCAACUCUCUCUUUAGAAUCAUGGUAGUCCACCUCAUUCCGGCGAACCAAACUAUUGUUAAUGAUGUACAGUACAUAAUUGUUAUAAUGUCAUUACCGUUAUAUUGAUCUAAAGUGACAUUCUAAUCUUACGUGGCAAACUAACAACUUAAUCUAGCCUAAUCCAACUUAAGCUAGCUUAAGCCUAAGCUUAGCCUAACCCAACUUAAGCGAGUGAGUCUUAAGUGAAAAUCUAACCUAAUCGUAUCUACUGUGACUUAAUUAUAACCUAACCUAAUCUAACGUGACAAUCUAACCUAACUUGCACUAACCUCAUCCAAGGUGACAAUCUAACCUACCCCUAACCCAACCUAAUCUAGCUAAACGCAACUUUAUCUAAUAUUACCUAACUUAACCUAACAACCUGACAACCUAACCUAACCAAACGCAACCUGACUGCAAGAGCGGGACGUUAAUUCGGUAAUAAUAAUAAUAAUAAUAAUAAUAAUAAUAAUAAUAAUAAUAAUAAUAAUAAUAAUAAUAAUAAUAAUAAUAAUAAUAAUACUUUCCCGCAUUCACAGCAUCCCCACACAUCCUCACCCACAAAUGACUCGCCCAUAUUCUGAAACACUCCGCUCUCUCAUCAGGUCUAUUUUCUGAUGCUACAGAGCUGAUCAGUUGGAUUCUCAAGUGUGUUUCUCUUCUUAAUAAUGUACAAAUCUGGUUAAUCUAAUAAUCACUACAACCAUAAAAAUAAAAAUAAAUAAAUAAAUAAAUAAAAAUCAAUGUACGUACGUAAUUUCAACUAAAGCCUUUGGAAAGUAGUGGAGAUGCGGAGCAGAAGUGUUUCAGAAUCCUGACCUCACACAUCCUACGCCUCUCCCUCUCACCCCUUGAGGUCUUUCCCACUCACCCCUCGACACCCAUCCCUGCUGCUCCCCCAUCACGCACGCCCCCACAGGUGAUAGGGGGGAAUUCUCCGUGAAGACAAUAACAACAACAGGUGCUUCGAACAUAACAGGAUACAGACAUCUCGGCCCAUGCACCUCCUCCUCCUCCUCCUCCUUUCCCUUAACACUGUGUUGUAAUAAGAGGGAUUUCUCUCUCUCUCUCUCUCUCUCUCUCUCUCUCUCUCUCUCUCUCUCUCUCUCUCUCUGAGCCAGCAGGAUACCCAAAGGUGUCAAUUCUAGGGAUUUUAAUAGCGUUCGCACCCACACACUCAUCAAGACGCCCCAUCCAUCAGCUGGACAGCCUGGAGCACCGAAGGAGAGUGGGGGCUCUCACAGUGCUGCACAAGGGCCAGGUGCAGCAAACAUCUCACCUCGCGGCGCUUUGGAUCCCCUGGAGGAGUGAACGCACUACGGGACCGGUAGUGUCCGACAUCCUCCUCGAGAUGCCGAGGUGCCGCUCGGUGAGGUGUCAACGUGCCUUCUCCCACGACACCGCGGUGCUGCGGAACACCUUCACCUCAGCAGUGGAUGUCACCAGGAUGUCCUUCCAGCAGGUGAAGUGCGCCGCCUGCGCCUGGUAGUGACGGUAACGCGGGGUGACGAAGGAAAUGGAAAUGCCUGACAGCGACAGUGCCAUGAAGUGCCGAGGGAUAAUUUGGCGAAAGUGUACCUGACUGUGGCAGUGCUAUAGUGUGAUGAUGUGCCUGACAGUGAAAGUCAGUGAUCUGGGAGGUGGGAGUGCCUGAAGGUGAUAGUGCCGAACAAUGACGAGAGAGGUGCGAAUGACAGUGACAUUGCAGUGAGUCCCUUUGUUCACAAAGCCGUCCCGUGGAGCAUCCUUUAAAUGAAUGACACUGGACAGGGGCCAUUCUUUACUUAAGAUCAUAGCUCCGUUUUGAAAAGUUAAGGAAUCUACUUUUUUUUAUGUUCACUAUGUUUAAAAUAAAUAAAGAAGAGAGAGAGAGAGACGGGGAGACAACAUGUGGGAAGCAACGGCCUGAGUCGUCAUUCCGUGAUUUAUCCAUUAUUACUCAAAAAAAAAAAAAAAAAAAAAUUCCGAUGAACUUGAAGGAUGAAAAAUAAAGACAAAGCAAAGGAAAAAAUCCAGGACCUAAAGACAAAAACAAGAAAAAAAAGGCAAAAAAAAAACUACAAUAAAGCUGAUAAUAAUAAUAAUGAUAAUAAUAAUAAUAAUAAUAAUAAUAAUAAUAAUAAUAAUAAUAAUAAUAAUAAUAAUGAUAAAUAACAAAAGUAAAUAAUUUCAUACUUCACAUAUACGUACAGCUUCUGAUGAGGACAAAAGGGAGACCAGCUGCGUCUUAGUCAUGAACCCGCACUGACACACUGUUCUCUCAUAAGGACUAUUUUCCAAAGCCCGCACCAGCGAAUAGUCCUUCAGCUUUGAUAGCACUGUAAUUAUGAGAACCUAAGUAACUCGCAGUCUCCCGCUAUACCCUGGCAGAGUAAUGGAAAUCCUUGUUGACUGUCACUGGAAUCAUGAAACCUUCCACUACAGCCUCUUAACAAACAGACAGUUUGACAGACAGUGGAAGGAAAGGAGAAAGGAGGGUGUAAUAUUUCGGGAAAGUCAAAAUGUAGUGGAAAACUUGUCGAGCAAUGCUUACCUUGCAAACAUUCAAGACAAAAAAAAAGAAAAAAAAAAAUAACGCGCAGUUAAACCGGUCCGUGCAAUGGGAAAACCCAAUGAGUGGCGACACUAGUGACUGGAAACACUGCAACACUUGUUCAAAUGUAUUUUUAUGUCAUUAAAUGUUUUAGUUAUUCACACAAACCAUGGGCAGACAACAGGUUUGUGCCUUGCUGGCGUGUGGCUGGGGAGCGAGAGCCAUCCGGUGGUUGUGCGCGUGAACUGUGUGUGUGAGCCUUCAACAAUUAUCAGCCAAGGAGACAAGACGAUGUUCGGUGGGCUGGCAAACCACAAACGACAGAGGUAGUAGUAGUAGUAGUAGUAGUAGUAGUCAUAAUAGCGAUAUUAUCAUGAAACAAAUAUAAACAAAUGAAUAAAUAAAUAAAUAAAUACAAAUCUAUAGCGCCAUCACGAAAUCCAAACAUUACACAACUAAAGCAAAGAAAGAAGAAAAACCAAAAGUUUGGUCCAGGAAGCGAGUGGCUCACUCUCGUUACAGAAAACUAUCUUUAGGACUUUCGUUCAGCCACUUUGACUCAACCGAUGAUGAUAUUCGAAAAAUAGUGCGGGACUUUCGGCAAUGUUGGUAGACCUGCUGACCCAGUACCACAUAUGCCUCAGUUUAUGUAAUGAUCGCAUUUUUUUUUAUUUUAUUUAUUUAUUUUUAUUUCAUACAGGUAUAACAUUUAAUUCAUAACUAAAAGGAAAGCUACCUUCCUUAUUAACAGAUACACCUCCACGCACUAGUACCAGUCCUUCCAAGACAUCCUGUGCAGUUACUUUUCGCAUCCAUCGUUCAUUUGAGUAAAGAUAUUUUCCUGAGUGAGUGUACACGGGUUCACAGGGAUCAAGGAGAGGCGCCGCCCGACAUUUUAUUGCCAUUUUCCUGUAUUGCGCAACGGCAGUCGGAGGCCCCCGUGUGUGUCCAGGUGGGCUGUGUAACUUCCAGGUAGAUACGUGCGUUGUCUUGUCAUUGAGGAAAAAAAAAAGUCUAGAAAUUCCUACACACACACACACACACACACACACACGGCAUUUAGGGGUGAAAUGAAGCCGUGGUGGUGUUGCCGUCUCACCUCAUAACACAUGACACACAGCAACGAGCGACGAAAAACAUAGCGGAAGAAUAUAAAGAGAGAGAGAGAGAGAGAGAGAGAGAGAGAGAGAGAGAAGGAGGCGAUAGAAAGCCUAUGCUGUCGACCGACACUCCCUUAGCAACAACCCCAGCGAGUGACGGAAGCCACCACCUUGACUCACCAACAGUGUGCUUCCUUCCUUCCUCUGGUAACCGCUAGGGGGAUGUGGCAGUGUUUAGGGAUGUUCUAAGACACUGGUGCUCGUGCGUACAUCCCCGACGUCACCUCAGCCUCAGAGAACAGUCAGUCUUCUCAAGGCUCACUGUGCCACUCGCUGCUUCAGAACCACCGAACGCAACUUAUUCAGUGACCGUCCAGAAUUUGAAAAAAAUGAAGUGGUUAAUUGUAUUUAUAGGCACAAAGGAGGCACUGAUCUGUGUUUUUAGUAUUAAAUCAGACUGGAAAUAAACUCUCUCUCUCUCUCUCUCUUAAAACCAAAUUAUUAAAUUCUAAAUUUACGCAUAUUGUCUGAAAUACAGUUGCCUUUGGUAAUACAUUCCACUGAUGUUUUAUUUAGUGUGCGUGCGUGUGUGUGUGUGUUAUUGUUCUUAUGUGUUAACUAUUCUGUUCAUCACCAAGAGCUCAGACUUACGUCACUCCUCGAAUAACAAAUAAAACCACAAUGUUU